rnacentral:rRNA from 1 species
CCUACGGGCGGCUGCAGUGGGGGAUAUUGCACAAUGGGGGGAACCCUGAUGCAGCGACGCCGCGUGAGUGAAGAAGUAUUUCGGUAUGUAAACCUCUAUCAUCUGGGAAGAUAAUGACGGUAGCUGAGUAAGAAGCUCCGGCUAACUACGUGCCAGCAGCCGCGGUAAUACGUAGGGGGCAAGCGUUAUCCGGAUUUACUGGGUGUAAAGGGAGCGCAGGCGGCCGUGCAAGUCUGAAGUGAAAGGCAUGGGCUCAACCCGUGAACUGCUUUUGAAACUGUAAGGCUGGAGUGAAGUAGAGGUAGGCGGAAUUCCUGGUGUAGCGGUGAAAUGCGUAGAGAUCGGGAGGAACACCAGUGGCGAAGGCGGCUUACUGGGCUGCAACUGACGCUGAAGCUCGAAAGCGUGGGUAGCAAACAGGAUUAGAUACCCGAGUAGUC